GCGGGGCAACCUGGCGGCGAGUGGCGAACGGGUGAGUAAUAUAUCGGAACGUACCCAAGAGUAGGGGAUAACGUAGCGAAAGUUACGCUAAUACCGCAUACGAUCCAAGGAUGAAAGCAGGGGAUCUUCGGACCUUGUGCUCCUGGAGCGGCCGAUAUCUGAUUAGCUAGUUGGUGAGGUAAAGGCUCACCAGGGCGACGAUCAGUAGCUGGUCUGAGAGGACGACCAGCCACACUGGAACUGAGACACGGUCCAGACUCCUACGGGAGGCAGCAGUGGGGAAUUUUGGACAAUGGGCGCAAGCCUGAUCCAGCAAUGCCGCGUGAGUGAAGAAGGCCUUCGGGUUGUAAAGCUCUUUUGUCAGGGAAGAAACGGCUGUGGCUAAUAUCCAUGGCUAAUGACGGUACCUGAAGAAUAAGCACCGGCUAACUACGUGCCAGCAGCCGCGGUAAUACGUAGGGUGCAAGCGUUAAUCGGAAUUACUGGGCGUAAAGCGUGCGCAGGCGGUUUUGUAAGUCUGACGUGAAAGCCCCGGGCUCAACCUGGGAAUUGCGUUGGAGACUGCAAGGCUUGAAUCUGGCAGAGGGGGGUAGAAUUCCACGUGUAGCAGUGAAAUGCGUAGAGAUGUGGAGGAACACCGAUGGCGAAGGCAGCCCCCUGGGUCAAGAUUGACGCUCAUGCACGAAAGCGUGGGGAGCAAACAGGAUUAGAUACCCUGGUAGUCCACGCCCUAAACGAUGUCUACUAGUUGUCGGGUCUUAAUUGACUUGGUAACGCAGCU
rnacentral:rRNA from 1 species